GGUACAGCUUCGUCUCUGGGGCCUGAUCCUGCAGCUCACAGUCACAAGAGGAGUCCUGGCUUGAGAGGUCCUCCUGGCUCUGACUGGGCAGGUAUGGCUACGCAGAGCGGUUCUCAUGGAAGAAGUUGCAGGAUGAGGUUUUAAAGCCUCUGUUUUGUUCCCUAAAAAAAAUGCACACCAAAGUGAAUGCAAAAAAGGCAAAGUGGGACAAAUUAUGGACACAAUAGGAUGCAAAUACUGAAGUUGCGGAAGGACAUAAGGAAACAGUACCGAUUCUUUAAAAACCUUUUCAUGAAAUCAAAGUAUUUAAUUGAAGACGACCUCUGCAGACCAAGGCCUUCCUCCAAAAGAUUUGGAACACAGCAUCUGAGAACUGCACUUCCCGUAAUCUCUGAAGAGAGACCUGCAUUCCCUGAAAAUAAAUUCUAACAACCCACAGCACACUCAAAAUAGCCAUGGCUCCAGUAAAUUCGCCAUUUCUUGCCAGAAGCUCCUUGCUCUGCAGGCCAAAGUAGCAGAGAUUAAGAGAAGUUAUUUCAAAUAUAUGAGCAGAGGGAAAUCAGUAACAGUUCAGGCAGGGUGGCAUUGCUCCCCAGGAAUACCUUCUGUUCAGACAGAGCCUGCUGCACCUCCACUGUUGCUGAAGUGGCCACUACUCUGCUGCGGCCAGCUGAGAAACUGUCUCUUAAGUUGAUGGUUCCUCUCCUGCUCUGUCCAAUGUGGGCCAAGAAGCAUUUGACAGUAUUAAUGGAGAUAAAAAGAACCUUUCUGUCUGUAAAGUUUAUUUCUCCAGAAUAACAUGGUUAAAUGACAGGACUAUACAAGGAAGGAUGUAAGGCCUCUAUCUUUAAUGCAUGUUUCAUAAUAAUUUAGGAUUUCAAAGGCUCUCAGCAUUAUCACAAAUGUAAAAAUUAAUAGUUCUGCUGCUUGCUGUUGGAAAAAGGCGCAUGACAAGUGUACCCUAUUUAACAUGCAGUGGUUCUACAAAGGGUUGGCACCAUGGAGAUUCAAACCAAGUCUUCACAUACGCCUGCGCUACCAAGCUGACAUAAUCAGUCUUCAGCAAUCAGAAGGCCCUCCUCACCACCUCUGCUGCCAGGUGAAGACAGUAAAGAGGACUAGUGAGUCCUCUUAUCUCUUUUUAAUCUCCAGUUCUCCGUGUGGUGAAGACAUGCGGGUUAGCAGGGUCUCUCAGGUCCCUUUGAAAAGGACACACUACAUCUGUGUAACAGGCAGUACGGCAUGGCCGGCCUUGUGACUCCCUCAUCAUCCUCCCAGGCUACUCCAGAGAGUGAUAAGCCUCACAUGGCCAAAAACAUGACGGUAUAGACCAUGAUUAUCUCGUCUAACUGCAUGUUCUCCGUAUUCUUUUUAAUAUUUAAAAAGCCAAACCAAUAUUCUAAACUCUUGUCCUUGUUAGUAAAUUGAGUACUAUACAUACACCAUUCAGCCAUACCUUUUCCUUUACAGCUGAAGUGUAGCUAAGUGUUCUUUUGUUCUUACAUUAGGAGAAUGUUUUACGUUUGAACGGUGUGACCAGAAUUGAAUGCCGCUACUAAUAUGAAGCGAUGCUGAUUUAAAUAAUCAUUUCCUCUAGUUUACCAUGACUACUGGAUAGUCCAAUCUCAACUCGUUUGUUUCACAGGCCCUUUGAUUUUGUUUUCCUAUUAAGCCUAACAAUCUCAGCUAGAUGAAAAUUUUCCACUCCUCAGGACUAAAAUGAUACCUGCCACUGGCAGAAUGGACAGAACCAAUCAAUGACUCAUCCCCUGUAACCCCCCCAAAACCAGUACACACAAGUACAACACUGUAGUAUUCUAAAUCCAUAUUUACAGAUCUUUGCAUUUUACUGUGGGUUAGGGGCAGGGCAGCAGUGGUGUGCUGAGGUCUUUACCCAGCCGUUGUCCUGUACAACUAAACGCAUAAGUGAUGCGCAUAAAUGCUUCAAGUGAUUUAUCUCCUGCAGAGCACAACACCUUACGCUUUGCAAACCUGAACUUCCUCUGCCACUGCUGCCCAGUUACUGAAGCCUCUUUGGCAAUGUUCACAUGGCCAAGUGCAGCAAUACGCACCAUUGGCAACAUUUCGGGAUUGCAGUGUUGACACCUAUUUUGAGAGACUCCACUAUCAAAACUUCCAUGACAAAAACUGCAGGUUGAUGAUAGAAAUAAAUAUUUCAUUUUUACAACUUUCUCACUCAUAAAAGUAUUUUUCCUUGCUCUGUGACUUAUUUUUAUCACCAGCCCUUGUAAAUUACUUUACCAAAAUACUUUUAAGUCAAAUGAAGUAACUUGGUUGUUUACACAGUUACUUUAUCAUUUUUGCAUGUUCAAGGAACAAAAUUCUGUGUUCCCAAAGCAUACGGCAAAACUCCGCACAGUGUACCAUUUGUUAAACGCAUGGGUUUCAGACACCAAAAUCAGAUCUAUUUGUAACUACAAUGUCACAUUCGGGUAGGCAGUUUGUAACUCCGGUUCAGUGUUUCCAAACAGAGUUCCAGUGAGAUCAGACAAUUUCAGAAUUCCUUCCCAAACAAGAGCCCUCUAAUGCUUCCCAUCCACCCUAAGCACAAUGGAAGUUAUUAAUCAUUGAUUCAAAGUUACUGUUGGACGUCAUCCUCAGCCUGAGGAGUCCUUUAAUUUUUUUUCAAAGCCUGGACUGUGUCUCCCAAACUUGCAUGUGGAUUAACUGAACGUCUGUAAUUUCCUGCGGGUGUCAGUAAUACCGUUUUGCUUGUUCUUAUUCCAUCUUGCUAUAUGCAAUGUUUAUUGGUUGUCCUGACUCCUCUACUGAGGCAAAGCAGGGUACAGAGUACAAAUGACAAAAAAUGUGUCAAAUGGAUUUUUUAAAAAAUUUCAUCCCCCCACCGCCAAAUGCAGGUGUUCUUCUAAACACAUUUAACUGUUACUCCUCCCCUUAACUCUACUACGUAUAUCUGGAUGUCUUUUAUGAAAUAAAAUUAUAGCAGACUGGCUAAUUUUCCUAUCUUCUUCUUAAAAGGUAAAUAGGCUAUGCUUUAAUUACUUUUAUUUAUAUUUUCCCCUCUAAUAACAGAAUCUAAGUCCAUAGACUACGCUUUAAUUACUUUUAUUUAUUUUUUUCCCUCUAAUGACAGAAUCAAAGUCCAUGGCUCUCUCCACUUCUUCCUUCUUUGCUGCUUCUCUUUACUGCAAAGCUCCCUGGAAUAGUUCUGUCGUCCAAGGUACUGGCCCACAACCUGACCCCAGGUACAACAGCGUAAAUGAAAAGCGCCCCCGCACAGCUCAGCCAAGUCACAGUUCCGUGUUGCACAAACACAUGCUACAGCAGGGGCCUGCCCACAGCAAUCACCUUGUACCAGAACAAGCACGGCAUACCUUUCACCUAGCUGCCGACAGAUUCCACCUCUCUGGCCCUUGCUAAGAAUAUUUCAACGAACCAUUUCAGUAGCGCUGUCUUAUUUAAUGAGACCUGGGGUUUUUUUGCAGCAGUAUCCAUACCAUUGACAGGAAAUUAUCGAGUUCUGAGAAAGCCAUUGUCUUUCAUAGGAAGUGGGUAACACAGUUCUUGUACUUUCAAAUGACAAAAAUUCAUGUCAGUUAUUUAGAUAAACAUUCCUACAACAGCAUUUCAAGAUGAUUCUACUGCCAUUAUUUAUUAGAAUAUAGGAACUUGGAAAUAUUUCACUGGUGCUCACACACCACCAGAAAUUUAUUUUGGGGCAAUGACCUGUUUUUUCUCCUGUGCCAGGAGAGAAUAUUGACUACAGUUCCUGCUCACUAGCCCCUAAAAUGCAGAAUAUGCAGGUAUUUUACAAAACCAAGUACUAAGGAGCAUUUCCUUCCCCUCAGAUGGGGAGUAAGAGGCAACACAGUAUCAAGAGAGACUGGCAGAAUGUAAUAAGCACC